rnacentral:rRNA from 1 species
GCUCAGAUUGAACGCUGGCGGCAUGCUUUACACAUGCAAGUCGAACGGUAACAGGUCUUCGGAUGCUGACGAGUGGCGAACGGGUGAGUAAUACAUCGGAACGUGCCUAGUAGUGGGGGAUAACUACUCGAAAGAGUAGCUAAUACCGCAUGAGAUCUACGGAUGAAAGCAGGGGACCUUCGGGCCUUGUGCUACUAGAGCGGCUGAUGGCAGAUUAGGUAGUUGGUGGGGUAAAGGCUUACCAAGCCUGCGAUCUGUAGCUGGUCUGAGAGGACGACCAGCCACACUGGGACUGAGACACGGCCCAGACUCCUACGGGAGGCAGCAGUGGGGAAUUUUGGACAAUGGGCGAAAGCCUGAUCCAGCAAUGCCGCGUGCAGGAUGAAGGCCCUCGGGUUGUAAACUGCUUUUGUACGGAACGAAAAGCUCUGGGCUAAUACCCCGGAG